AUGUCGUCCUCCACCGUCCCUGUCACCUCCGGCCUCAACUACAACACCUCCGAGCCCCUCUCCCAAACGAACUAUGUUCUCUGGAGAGCUCAAGCGCGAUCCCAGAUAAUGGGCGCCGGCUUGUUUGGCUACUUAGAUCAAACCCUAGAGGAGCCUCCCAAAACCAUCACCACCAAAGACAAAGAUGGCAAGGACCAGGUGAUUCCAAACCCUGCCUAUGCCCCCUGGCUGAUCCAGGAUCAACACAUCGUCGCUUAUCUCCUCCGCAACCUGUCCAAAGAGGUUCUUGUCCAAGUUGCCUCGCUU
rnacentral:rRNA from 1 species